CCGCGCACCGACAGUACGAACACCGCCAGCGAACUGUUUUAGUGCUGAGGGGUAAAACGAACGCGGCGGCAUGUUUAACAUGCAAGUCGAACGGUAACAGGUCUUCGGAUGCUGACGAGUGGCGAACGGGUGAGUAAUACAUCGGAACGUGCCCGAUCGGGGGGGAUAACGCAGCGAAAGCUGUGCUAAUACCGCAUACUAUCUACGGAUGAAAGCGGGGGAUCGCAAGACCUCGCGCGGACGGAGCGGCCGAUGGCAUAUUAGGUAGUGGGUGGGAUAAAAGCUUACCAAGCCGACUAUCUGUAGCUGGUCUGAGAGGACGACCAGCCACACUGGGACUGAGACACGGCCCACACUCCUACGGGAGGCAGCAGUGGGGAUUUUUUGGACAAUGGGCGCAAGCCUGAUCCAGCCAUGCCGCGUGCAGGAUGAAGGCCUUCGGGUUGUAAACUGCUUUUGUACGGAACAAAAAACCUCUCUCUAAUACGGGGGGUGAAUGACGGUACCGUAAGAAUAAGCACCGGCUAACUACGUGCCAGCAGCCGCGGUAAUACGUAGGGUGCAAGCGUUAAUCGGUAUUACUGGGCGUAAAGCGUGCGCAGGCGGUUAUGUAAAACAGGAGGUGAAAUCCCCGGGCUCAACCUGGGAACUGCCUUUGUGACUGCAUAGCUGGAGUGCGGCAGAAGAGGGGGGUAGGAAUUCCGCGUUGUACCAGUUGAAAUGCCGUAAAUUUGGCGGAAGAACCCCCGGUGGGGCGAAAGGCCAUUCCCCUUGGGCCCUGCACUGACGCUCAUGCACGAAAGGCGUUGGGGGAGCAAACAAGGAUUAGAUACCCCUGGUAGUCCCACGCCCCUAAACGACGUCACCUGUGUGUUUGUUUUGGGUUUUUCAUUGAACUCAAUAAACGAGCUUAACGCGUGAGGUGGACCGCCUGAGGGAGUACGCCGGCAUGUAAUACUCAUGUAUCGACGGUACGCAACCGGGAGAAUGAUGUGAUUAAUUUCGAUGG
rnacentral:rRNA from 1 species